CGGCCGGGCGCGGCCGCCCGUUCCGCGCGGGGUAAACAAGGCGCCGCGCAUGCGCGCCCGGGGCGGGGACGGGACGUGACGUCGCGUGCGCGCGGGAGGGGGAGGGGACGUGCCCGCAGCAGCUGCCGCCUUCCGUCACCUCCCCGCUACCCCCCCCCCAACCCCCGGCGGAGCGUUAACUGCCGUUCUGAGGGCCCUGCCCCCCCCCCACCUCGCGGGCAGUUCUAAGGGCCCCCCCCCGCCCCGGGACCGUUAACGGCCGUUCUGAGGGCCCUGCCCCCCACACACACACGCACAGAGGCGCCCCUCCCAGUCCUGAAAGGCGAGCGCCUCAGUGCCCUGACGUGGCUAAAGUCAGGAGGCCCUUUGCUCCAUUUGUGAAACAGCCCCGAGGGCCCUUGGGUGACUGGUUCUGCGCUAGGCAGGACUUGGGGGAAGGGAAGCAGCCUGCUCGGGGGCCGGCCCCAAUAACCAGGCCCGGGGCAGGGGUGGAGAGCCAAGUGCAAGAUGCUGGCGAAGAAGUGGGGCAAACAGGGCAGUUGGCUGGGAGCAAGAGGGGGUCAGGAACAGGAGCGGGGUGGCAGGCCGGGCCGGGGCAGAUAAGCGAGCCAGGGCCCGGCCAUUACAUCAGUCUGACACAAGCUCUAGAGGAAGAGGAGCCCAUUCAGGCCCAGGAGGGUGUCCAAGAAGACUGCCCCCUUCCACAACAAGCCAGGGAACGGGGAGCAAACAAGGCGGUUUGCCGCCCCCCCCCUCCCCCCUUAAAGAGGAGCCUUUAAGAUUCGUUACUUAAUUAAGAGUAACCUUCACAUAGUUACUGUAAGUAGCCUGGUAACGCUUUCUUGCCUUCCUUCACAGUAAACUUGGUGAGAAGAAUCGAGUUAGGAAGGAAAAGGGAACCUUUUGGGACCAAGGGGCAGUGAAUGGGCCAGUUUACAGAGGCAUUUGCUAGGGAAACUCAGGAAGAGUUUGCUGGGGAAACAUCAGGAAGAACUUUUUUACGGGCAGGGGGUCAGACUCGAUCUACUGAGGUCCCUUCCGACCCUAACGACUAUGGAAGGUCUGCUUGGAGAAAGGCGGCAGAUUGAGAGACCUAGAGAAGCAGCUGGAGGGUGUCGCAAGGCCAGAGCCACUUCCACUGCCAGCUCUUCCUCUGCUGGCACCUGUGAGGUGCGUGUCCAGGCAGGACCGCUCACUGCCAAGGCUCCGACCCAAGUCCUGGUUCGUGCUGUGGGCUUACAGGUUUCUUCCAGUGCUGGCCUGUGAUGCGAGGGAUAUAGCUCAGGGAGCAGACAAGAGACACAGGAGAAAGUGGCAAGGCUCCAAAGCAUCCUCCACUUUGAUGCUGAAGGAAACCUGAAGAACUGCCAGAGACAGUGCUAGAGGAAGAAAAGGACAGGAACUUCUAGGAAGGUGAAAACUUGUGAUCUCUGGCAGCAGGCAGAAGUCUAUACAGGCAGCCGUAGCAACAGAGGAGAAGAAGCAUGUUUUAUUGGUGGAAGAGGACAGGACAGGCCUCCCCAAGGUUGGGAGGAUGGAGAUCACUGCCACCAAGAGGAAGCAAUGGGUGGUGGUGGUUGGAGACUCCCUUCUGUGGGGGGGUCAGAGACCUCUAUCUGCCAGCCUGACCUGUUGUCUUUGGUCUGCCUGAAUCCAGGAUGUCAGAGAAGGAUUAGUGAGACUCAUCCCAGCUCUCUGCUACCCCAUGCUCUUCAUCCAUGUGGGCAUAAGUGAUAUACAGCCAGGGGUGACGCUGAGCAGCUCAAAAGUCACUUCCGGGUACAAGGGUAAAGGGAACAGGCUCAUGUGGUGUUCUCGAUCCUUCUAGUCAAGGGGGAGAGCCCAGACAGGAGUGGACACAUCUUGCAAAUCAAUGCGUGGCUAUGCAGAUAGUGUCAUCAGCAGGUCUUUGGCUUCUUCAACCACGGGCUUGUGCUCCAAGAAGAAGGAUUGUUAGGAAGAGACAGAAUAGCAGGGAAAGAAGGAGAACAGCAGAGUAUGGGCUCUGGACUUCAGAAAAGUGGACUUUGAUUUGCUCUGGGAACUCAUGGGCAGGAUCCCCUGGGAGGCCAGUCUGAGGGGGAAAGGAGUCUAAGAGAGCUCUGGUAUCUUAAAGAAAUGUUACUGAGGGUGCAGGAAGAAAAACAUCCCAAUGCACAGGAAGACUAGCAGGUAUGGCAGCAGAUCAGCUUGGCUUAGCAGGGAACUCUUCAGUAUUCUAAAACACAAAAAGGGAGCAUACACAGAGUGGAAACAGGACAAAUGACUUGGAAGGAGUAUAAGACUAUUGCUUGGGCAUGCAGGGAUGAAGUCAGGAAGGCCAAAGCACAACUGGAGUUGCAGCUAGCAAGGGACAUGAAGGGUUUCUACAAGUAUGUCAGCAACAAGAAGGUCAGGGAAAGUGUGGGUCCCUUACUGAAUGGAGGCAACCUAGUGACAGUCAAUGCAAAAAAGGCUGAAGUACUCAAUGCCUUUUCAUCUCAAUUUUUAUUGCCAAGGUUAGCUCCCAGACUACUGCACCAGGCAGCACAGUUUGGGCAGAGCUCAGCAGCCAACAGUGACAAAAGAACAGGUGAGUGGGUAUUUAAAAAAACUGGACACGUGCAAGUCCCCAGGGCCAGAUGCAGUACACCUGAUGGUGCUGAGGGAGUUGGCAGGUGUGAUUGCAGUCACUGGCCAUUAUUUUUUAAAACUCAUGGUGGCCAGGAGAGGUCCCAGAUGACUGGAAGAGGGCAAAUAUAGUGCCCAUCUUUAAGAAAGGGAAGAAGGAUCCAGGGAACUACAGUCUGGUCAGCCUCACCUCAGUUUCUGUUUCUUAUCUCAGUCUAUGUAUUUUUACAUUGUCACAAUUUAUCGCACAGUAGAUACCUCUAAAACCACUUCUUCCAACCACAGUACCUACAAGAAGGGAGUGUACAACUCUGGGAAGGAGAUGCAUACUUUUUAAACACAAAUUAUCUCCAUCUUUGAUUCCCUCAUUGUGUUUUCUCUUUUGUAUGUAUGCUUUGUAGAUCUUAAGCCCUUCAUACCAGCCCCUGUCUUUAUUUUGCAUAUUGUACUGUCACACACGUUACUGGUGCUAAACAAAUAGUAAUAGGCUUGUUGCUGUUGGAUUACCAGACAUCAGCAUAUUUUUGCCCUAUUCCUCAAACUAGAGGAGAGAAUACUUAAUCAUUCUUAAUUUUGGCUUUCUGGACAAUACUAAAAAAAUAACAGUACUAGUAAAGUUGAAAGUUAAGAUUCUUCAGUAGUCUAUCCAAAAACACCUCAUAAGGCAAAGGUGACUGGAGAGAAAAGCAGACAUUAAUAAUAGUGUUUCUUUUGUGCAAUACCUCACAGUAAUUGUUAACCCAGGCAUUUUUAUUGUAAUCAGCAGUCAGGGAAAGAGAGUUUAAGAAUAUAAGGUGAUGCAAUUCUACAUUAAGUUGUUAGAAGCAAGACCAUAUCAUCUCUUGGUGGUGGCACUUAGCUGCAGUUCAAGUAUCUAGUUCAUUACAUCUACAACAUUCAACUUUUCUUUAAAAUUGUAAAUUGUUUCCUAUUGACUAGAAUCCACUUCUUUUAGCAUAAAAUAUUCAGAGUUCUGGAAUGUGACCGUUAAUCUGAUUGACUACAUCUGAAUUACUCCUUAUUACACUCUCUAGCAGCAAGAGGCGAUGCAUAACUAACUAGUAUGCAAAAUCAAUUUGAAAGCCCUAGAAAAAUAACUCAUCAACUAUAACCUGAUUUUGCUAUCACACAAAUAAAAGUUCUCUCCCCUUUUUCCCACCUUCCAAAAAUGUAGAAGACCAGGAACGUACAAAAAACAAAGUACUUUGAAAGCAGAAUGCAUUUUAAUAUUUUAAAAUAACAGCUUAAAUUGUUGCGUUUUAAGAAGUCGUCAAAGGAAAAUGGCUUUUGAGGAAAAAAGUUGAUGGGGUAAAAGUUAACAGUGUUUGUGUAGCAAAGGAGAGUUCCCUUUUGGGGCUUUGGGGGUAUCUUGCCAGCCUAGUUAUAGAUCUGUCUUCAAAGUGUUAAUUUCAUGUUUUUCACUUAGAAACAAAGGUGUUGUUGCUGAUCCUGAAUGAGAGCCUGCAAACAUCAGAUUGAAGCUGUGGAUGAAGUGUGAAAUAAUAGGUGUUCCAUCUGUGAAAAACUUAAAGCUAAAUUUAAAAACUGGGCUUCUUAUAUAGGGAUUUGAAAUUUAGAAAUAGAAAGACUAGACCAUGAAGGCCCCUAUUCAUCUAUGCUUGCUUUUUACAGUGGUAGGAAGUUGACUGCUUGAUACACCUAUUUUAUAUUGAAUAAGCUACAUCGUGUGAAAAAUAAGGUUUCUGCUGAAAUUGCGGAACUAUCGUUUUGCUUGAAAUGCAAUAGGCCUGCUCAGAUGAAAAGCUUAAACUUUGAAGAUCAUAAGAAUCUACUACAAGAGUUGAUAAAAGCACAACAAUGAAGCAGAACCAGCUGUAUAUAAAAUCCAAAUAUUAACAUUAGCUCCACAUAUUUGGUUUAUUGAGAAAACACAGUAGUUUAAGUGCAGCCUAGUCUUAAAUUUGUAGUGGAUAAUUUUUUAUUAUUAUUAUUACUACGUAAAUGGCUUAAAGAAGGGCCAUUUCUUUUGACCUUCGAGAAAAGAACCUGAUUACUUUUGAAGGGCCUGUGCACAGGUAUGGACAUGCUCAUGUGUGUCGACAGCUUCAUUGCACAUUUUGAGUUCCAGCCUGGUUUCGUCUCAAUGCCAGUCACCAAAGUUGACUCAGAUCUUAAAAAUUCCUGAUGCAUAUCUUCCCUUACUGUAUUUUCUGAAUCAAGUGACAAUACUAUUAUGUCCAACUGCUUGACAAGUAUUUAGUGGAGAUGUCAGGAAGUAAAUUUACCUUGUGUGUAGUCGCAUCGGAUUGCGUCAAAUAUUUACCAGCAAAAGAUUUACCAGUUCUUCGCGAUGCUGUCAAGACAUGGAACUGCUUUGUGACUGAUUCUCCAAGGAGCCUCAUCUCUCUCUGCAAGUUUUCCCUUUGAUUGAUUUUGCUGGUGAUGCUGGGACUUCUUGCAGGUGGAGAAGAGGGAACAAGAUGAAAACUACUUCCUCUGAUAGCCAAAAAACACAUUUUCUAGACUGCUGUCUGAGGCAAUGUCAGAGAGAACACAUUUUGUCCUCCUCCUCUUAGUUUCUCAAUGUUGGCCUCUUGCUUCAUUUGAGGCCUAUUCCCAGGGAGAUUAAGAGAAGUCUUGACAGAAAGACCAUAUUAUCCAAAACUCUACCUGCCACUGGGAAUGCUCAAGUAGUAAGCAUACUUUUUGUGCUUCUCCAAACCCUUAUUAAAAUAACCCACUUAACAGCAUUAAACCUGCAUUUUCACUCACACCGCUGGUCUUUAAUAAGGAUGAGAUGAAGAAGAGCGAGCAACUAGACCAAGUCUAAAAACACUUUAAAGGAUUUCUGUCAUUCCAGCUCCACAAGACUUGCUGAGGUACAAAGUCCUCCUCAGACUACUGCAAACAAAAUGGAAGGAAGGAGGAGGGGCUUGCUGGGAGACUGCUGCUGGAAAAGAAAUUUAAAACUGUUCAAGCUGCACAAAGUGUACUCCUAGCUACUGUUAAGAGAUCAAGGACAAGACUGAUGCCCUGCAGUCUAGAACAUGCAGAAACCAGAACUUCUGGCCUGGAAGAUCACCAUGCUGUAGAACAGUGGUUUUCAAACUUUUUAGAUUCAAGGCAUCCCUUAGACUCAUAACUUAUAUAUUACAAUGUUUACCUCCUCACAGAGGGGCCAGGUAGUGGGGGUGGAGAAAUGACCAGGCAGGGAAGAGCAUGAGUCUGUACUUCUCCAUAUCUCCUCACACCUUGGGGCACCCUUCAAAGGAUUGAGUCACACCCCUGGAUGUCUUGGCACCCGGCUUGAGAAGUAUUGCGGUAGAGAGAGGAAAAGUCUCCCUAAUAAAAAAACCAAGUAGAAUUCAUUUCUGAUGAGUCUGAAGAUCUAGAAGGCGGGGCCCAGGAGCAUAGGGGUUGCAUUACAUAUACAACUGGAUAACAAACUAGAUCAUCCCUUUGCAGGAAAUAAAUAUAUUCUUUAUCUGGGGAAAAAGCAGGAGGUUGCAUGGUAUAAAAAGACCAUCAACCCCAUUGAAAAUGAAAAGAUGGUGAAUAAUGCAAGUCAGUCUAAUAAGAAAAAGCAUGGGGAAGUAAGGUAUAUAACAUUUAUUUUAUAAUAAAAAUACUCAUUUCGGUACAUUGCCUGUAAUAUUGGAUAUGUGUAAUAAAUUUUACUGUAUGCAGCUAUGAA